rnacentral:rRNA from 1 species
GUGGCGAACGGGUGAGUAACACGUAGGGAACCUGCCCCUAAGACGAGGAUAACUACUGGAAACGGUAGCUAAUACUGGAUAGGAUAAGUUGACGCAUGUUGGCUUAUUUAAAGGUGCCUAUAAAGCACCGCUUAGGGAUGGCCCUGCGGCGCAUUAGCUAGUUGGUGGGGUAACGGCCUACCAAGGCGACGAUGCGUAGCUGUGCUGAGAGGCAGAACAGCCACACUGGGACUGAGACACGGCCCAGACUCCUACGGGAGGCAGCAGUAGGGAAUUUUCGGCAAUGGGGGGAACCCUGACCGAGCGAUGCCGCGUGAGUGAUGAAGGUCUUCGGACUGUAAAACUCUGUUAUUAGGGAAGAAUACUAUAGGGAGGGAAUGCCUUAUAGAUGACGGUACCUAAUGAGGAAGCCCCGGCCAACUAUGUGCCAGCAGCCGCGGUAAUACAUAGGGGGCGAGCGUUAUCCGGAAUUACUGGGCGUAAAGGGUGCGUAGGCGGUUUCUUAAGUCUAGUGUGAAAGCCCACG